GCUGCGUGGAAGGGUGGGGCCGAGGGGCUUGUAGGGCGGGUUGAAGACGGUGGGAACGGAAGGAAGCCCUGCAAACGCGGCUGUGGGCGGGGUUAUAUGGGGCGGGACAACGGCGUAGGUGGAGAUAGGGAGACGGUGGGCGGGGCAGGGCUGAUGUGGAAGUGAAAGGGAGGGCAAGGUGGGUGGGGCUAGAGCCGCGGAGAGGGUCAGGCGAUCUGUGGGCGGGGUGGAGCGGACUUGGGAAGCAGAGAGGAAGAAGAUGGAGGGCGGGCUGUCGGUGGAAAGGCGGAGCUAGGAGGAAGGAGGAGCGGGGCCUGCUGUGGAAGGGGAGGAGGCGCGAUGAGGAAAGGAGCAAGGGAACGAUGCUCUGGUGUUGAACGAUGCUCUGUUGUUGAGUCCCAUCUUGCUGAAGACUGUGGGAGGAGGCCUGAGCUAGCCUGCUGGAGCCCCAACAAGGAGCUUCCCAACUGCCAGCCUGCCAGUGAAGCUACAUCCAUCAUUCAACACCUGCUUCCCACGCACGUAUGAGAGAGCCCAGCACAAACCCGCUUAGUCAGUCCAAAAAUGCCUGGCCUCUCUGUGAAUCAGGAGCCAAACAAAUUGCUAUUAUUAUAAAGGUUCAGAUUUACAAGUUGUUUGUUAUGCCCUCCAAACUGACACAGCUUUCAGAACCAAACAGAAGAAAGUGAGCUUAAACCCAAGAAAAUGGUAUCUGUAGGUAACUGUUUCCACUCUACAGAAGUUGAUAAGGCAUUACCUUUCCUUCUUCGCAACUAAGAGACCUACUGUGCAAAGUAAAACUUGAUUCUUACCUCCCAAGGA